rnacentral:lncRNA from 1 species
UCAUAUCUCCCGAUGUUCAGAUCGAAGUCAUUUCCAGUAUUCAGACUGAUGAGCAGCAUUCAAGCCAUGGUUAUUUAUGUGUUACUAUUUAUUUUGGUAUCCAGGUUAACAUUCUUUUUUGGUAUUCAGACUGACUCUCACCGUACCAGACGGAUUCUUCUUUCAAGACCACCUCUUUGCUGAUUCUGACAGGCAUUGUUACUUCAC